UACGGGGGGAGCAAGCGUUGUUCGGAUUUACUGGGCGUAAAGGGUGCGUAGGCGGCCCCGUAAGUCAGUGCUGAAAUAUCCCGGCUUAACCGGGAGGGUGGCAUUGAUACUGCGAGGCUUGAGUAGAGUUGAGGUUGGCGGAAUUGACGGUGUAGCGGUGAAAUGCGUAGAUAUGCAGAGGAACACCGAUGGCGAAGGCAAUCCCCUGGGCCUGCACUGACGCUCAUGCACGAAAGCGUGGGAGCAAACAGG
rnacentral:rRNA from 1 species